UACGUAGGGUGCAAGCGUUAAUCGGAAUUACUGGGCGUAAAGCGUGCGCAGGCGGCUUUGCAAGACAGAUGUGAAAUCCCCGGGCUUAACCUGGGAACUGCAUUUGUGACUGCAUGGCUGGAGUGCGGCAGAGGGGGAUGGAAUUCCGCGUGUAGCAGUGAAAUGCGUAGAUAUGCGGAGGAACACCGGUGGCGAAGGCGGCAUCCUGGACCGGUAUUGACGCUGAGGCGCGAAAGCCAGGGGAGCAAACGGG
rnacentral:rRNA from 1 species